rnacentral:rRNA from 1 species
ACUCCUGCGGGAGGCAGCAGUGGGGAAUAUUGCACAAUGGGCGCAAGCCUGAUGCAGCCAUGCCGCGUGUAUGAAGAAGGCCUUCGGGUUGUAAAGUACUUUCAGCGGGGAGGAAGGCAAUACGGUUAAUAACCGUGUUGAUUGACGUUACCCGCAGAAGAAGCACCGGCUAACUCCGUGCCAGCAGCCGCGGUAAUACGGAGGGUGCAAGCGUUAAUCGGAAUUACUGGGCGUAAAGCGCACGCAGGCGGUCUGUCAAGUCGGAUGUGAAAUCCCCGGGCUCAACCUGGGAACUGCAUUCGAAACUGGCAGGCUUGAGUCUUGUAGAGGGGGGUAGAAUUCCAGGUGUAGCGGUGAAAUGCGUAGAGAUCUGGAGGAAUACCGGUGGCGAAGGCGGCCCCCUGGACAAAGACUGACGCUCAGGUGCGAAAGCGUGGGGAGCAAACAGGAUUAGAAACCCCAGUAGUCCCAUG